UAGGUAUAGUUAGUUUCUCCAAACCCAAAAGAAAAGAAGAGAAGAAAAAAAGUACUUGACUUACUUACACAAAGCGCCAAUGGCGAUGUUGGAUGUUGACUUUAAGCUCAGCCUCUCUCUUCCCGGUACUCAAACCGGUGGCACCAAACGCUGCCGCCGCUUUCCGGAGGAGGACACCGUUGAUCUUCUUCAUCCCAAGGCACAGAUUGGGGGGUGGCCGCCGGUGAAGGCAAACAGAAAGUGUGGCGUGAAGGUGGGUGUGGACGGAGCACCAUAUCUAAGAAAAGUGGAUCUUGAAGCGUAUGAGAGUUAUGAGCAGCUCUUCAAGGCAUUGGAGACCAUGUUUUGUUGCUCAACCAUUAUUUGUAAUGAGAAUAAGGUGAUGGAUAAUUAUAUGCCAACUUAUGAGGACAAAGAUGGUGAUUGGAUGUUAGUUGGCGAUGUACCUUGGAAGAUGUUUGUUGAAUCAUGCAAGAGAAUAAGACUCAUGAUAAAGUAGACCCCUUGCCCUUUGGCUCGCUAAGGUAUACCGUACUGCUCAACUUAGAAGAAUAUAAUCUAGUUUAGUUAGCUAAAUUAGCUAUAUAUAUAUAUAUAGUUAUAUGAUAGUAAAUAUAUAAGAUCCAGAGUGUAUAUUAUAUACAGACUACAUACACUUCCGCUUUGGAUUGUUUGUGUAUAUGUGAUGUUUGUUAAUUAAUGAUAUGGUUUAUGUUAUGAACAAAUCAUAAACUUAGUAUUUGUAUUCUAUUAUACAUGUUAUAGAUUACCAACUUUGUUUAAAAUUGGGAGAAAAAAAUUAAUAGC